AAUUUAAGCUGAUGCUACUAGGCUACAUUUGCGGAACUAAAACCGCAUAAGUGAAGCGGCAUAUCAUAGAAGUAAGCAGUAUCGUUGUUUACGAUUUAAUAAAAAUGUGUUUGGUAAGCUACUACCAAACAACUGAUAGACAAUGUCUGCGGUAUCAGACGAUAAAAAACGUAGUGCUAUCAGUAUUAAGUCUGCAAUAUGCUUUGGGUAAACAAAUUUAGAAAGAAUAGUUCGGUGACGAUACCACCGACUAUUUUUU
rnacentral:ncRNA from 1 species